rnacentral:misc_RNA from 1 species
AUAUUGAAAAAUCCCUUGACCAGUACUUGCAUCCCAUAACUGGAAUCCAUCCAAGUAAAUCAUGUCAUGAGCAAUGACGCAAGUUGAUAAAUAUGAGGAAUAUAUCCUCUCCACAGAACAUCUGAAAUAUACAGGGGAAAGCAGAAACAAGCAGCCUGUAACACAUACAUGUGUGGACAUUUAAAGAGAGUGAGUGAUUAACUAGCAGACAGUGACUAGAUGAGAGAACAUGAACCAGCACUACACACUUCAAUAAGUCGACAAACCUCCAACACCAGAUGUGAAAUAAACACCCUAGAAAAUUCCUGGAGUUGAUCCAAAUAGUUUUUUAGUUGCUAUUUGAAAAUAAGUAUCAAGGCUAACGGAGUUCUAGAAAAGGAAAAGAUGGAAGACAAUUAUGGCAACCAAAAAGUGAUUAAAUCUAGAUGAAAUUUUUGUAUGAAUAUUCCAAAUUCAACAGAAAAAGUUCCAAGCCAUCCAUCAACUUGAUAAGCAAACUCAACCUAUUUUAGUUCUACGGACAAAUAGCAUUUCAUGUGAACUGAUGAUGAAAAUUUUGCAGCAAGAAAAAAAAU